rnacentral:rRNA from 1 species
AUACGGAGGAUGCGAGCGUUAUCCGGAUUUAUUGGGUUUAAAGGGAGCGUAGGCGGGAGCUUAAGUCAGCGGUUAAAUGGUGCGGCUCAACCGUGCCCUGCCGUUGAAACUGGGUUUCUUGAGAGUGCAAGAGGCGGAUGGAAUUCAUGGUGUAGCGGUGAAAUGCUUAGAUAUCAUGAAGAACUCCGAUUGCGAAGGCAGUCCGCUGGGGCACGUCUGACGCUGAUGCUCGAAGGUGCGGGAAUCAAACAGGAUUAGAUACCCUGGUAGUCCGCACGGUAAACGAUGAUUACCCGCUGUCGGCGGCAGACAGUCGGCGGCCAAGCGAAAGCGAUAAGCGCCCCACCUGGGGAGUACGGUCGCAAGGCUGAAACUCAAAGGAAUUGGCGGGG